rnacentral:lncRNA from 1 species
AUAGUCGAGUUGUAGCCCCUGACAUUGUAUAGACAUGCGUAUACCUCAUCUCUAUUCUCGAGGCUGAAGAUCACAUCAACCCAUAGUCACAGGCCGAAAGGGGGGUGCUCAACUUCCUACAUCACCCCUGACAGUGUAGUCCGCGCUCAUCAGACCCGGCGAGCUAACUAGUAGACCAGACUUCGAAGUGGACAUGAAUCGACAGAACGAUCGCGCUUGUAAGUAUGUCUUGGUGUAGGAAAAUUUUCAAGCUCCUCCAUACAGUAUUUGACCGCGGUGCUAUUUCUAUGAACACUUGAACUGAAGAUCUCCAAUCUGUUGAAGUCAGCUUUGGACAGAUAGGAAUAAUCUUCAACCAAUUCAAUGAUGAGUCGGUCACAUUUUGUUUCACUGGUAGAUGACUGAACGUGUCGGCUAAUUGCAAACCAUAUCUUGUAUGGACGCAGACGAUGCUGAAUUAGGGCUUAUCUCAGAACCAAGCCUCUUUUCAAAAAAACAUUUUCCGCGCCUGAUCAAACGUGCGAGCCUCAGAGGUGGCUUUUAAUCAGCGAUUUGAAUGCAGUCUAUAUUAUGGCUGCUGAUAUCGUA